UACGGGGGGGGCAAGCGUUGUUCGGAAUUACUGGGCGUAAAGGGCGCGUAGGCGGCCUGCUAAGUCGGACGUGAAAUCCCUCGGCUCAACCGGGGAACUGCGUCCGAUACUGGUGGGCUCGAAUCCGGGAGAGGGAUGUGGAAUUCCAGGUGUAGCGGUGAAAUGCGUAGAUAUCUGGAGGAACACCGGUGGCGAAGGCGGCAUCCUGGACCGGUAUUGACGCUGAUGCGCGAAAGCCAGGGAGCAAAGCGGG
rnacentral:rRNA from 1 species